UACGUAGGGUGCGAGCGUUGUUCGGAAUCACUGGGCGUAAAGGGCGUCUAGGCGGCUUGCCAAGUCAGAUGUGAAAUCCCUCGGCUCAACCGAGGACGUGCAUCUGAAACUGGUGAGCUUGAGUAUUGGAGGGGACAGUGGAAUUCCCGGUGUAGAGGUGAAAUUCGUAGAUAUCGGGAGGAACACCAGUGGCGAAGGCGGCUGUCUGGCCAAAUACUGACGCUGAAGCGCGAAAGCGUGGGGAGCAAACAGG
rnacentral:rRNA from 1 species